rnacentral:rRNA from 1 species
GACGAACGCUGGCGGCGUGCUUAACACAUGCAAGUCGAACGGAAAGGCCCUGCUUUUGUGGGGUGCUCGAGUGGCGAACGGGUGAGUAACACGUGAGUAACCUGCCCUUGACUUUGGGAUAACUUCAGGAAACUGGGGCUAAUACCGGAUAGGAGCUCCUGCUGCAUGGUGGGGGUUGGAAAGUUUCGGCGGUUGGGGAUGGACUCGCGGCUUAUCAGCUUGUUGGUGGGGUAGUGGCUUACCAAGGCUUUGACGGGUAGCCGGCCUGAGAGGGUGACCGGCCACAAUGGGAAUGAGAUAAGGCCCAGACUCCUACGGGAGGGAGCAGUGGGGAAUUUUGCACAAUGGGCGGGAGCCUGAUGCAGCAAAGCCGCGUGCGGGAUGACGGCCUUCGGGUUGGAAAACGCGUUCGCCUGUGACGAAGCGUGAGUGAAGGUAAUGGGUAAAGAAGCACCGGCUAAAUACGUGC